rnacentral:rRNA from 1 species
UACGUAGGGUGCAAGCGUUGUCCGGAAUUAUUGGGCGUAAAGAGCUCGUAGGCGGUUUGUUGCGUCGGCUGUGAAAUCCCGAGGCUCAACCUCGGGUCUGCAGUCGAUACGAGCAAACUAGAGUGUUGCAGGGGAGACUGGAACUCCUGGUGUAGCGGUGAAAUGCGCAGAUAUCAGGAGGAACACCGGUGGCGAAGGCGGGUCUCUGGGCCGAUACUGACGCUGAGGAGCGAAAGCGUGGGGAGCGAACAGG